AACGAACGCUGGCGGCAGGCUUAACACAUGCAAGUCGAGCGCCUCGCAAGAGGAGCGGCAGACGGGUGAGUAACGCGUGGGAAUCUACCGUACCCUACGGAAUAGCUCUGGGAAACUGGAAGUAAUACCGUAUACGCCCUUUGGGGGAAAGAUUUAUCGGGGUAUGAUGAGCCCGCGUUGGAUUAGCUAGUUGGUGGGGUAAAGGCCUACCAAGGCGACGAUCCAUAGCUGGUCUGAGAGGAUGAUCAGCCACAUUGGGACUGAGACACGGCCCAAACUCCUGCGGGAGGCAGCAGUGGGGAAUAUUGGACAAUGGGCGCAAGCCUGAUCCAGCCAUGCCGCGUGAGUGAUGAAGGUCUUAGGAUUGUAAAGCUCUUUCACCGAUGAAGAUAAUGACGGUAGUCGGAGAAGAAGCCCCGGCUAACUUCGUGCCAGCCGCCGCCGUAAAAC
rnacentral:rRNA from 1 species